GGGGGAGGGGCUGGGCUAAGGAGGCGGGGGUCCGACAGCCCCCGCAGGGCACCAGCAGAGGCCAGGCUGCCCACCCACUGUGCAGACACUUCCUAUCUCUCUGGGCUCACCCCAUUCAUCUCAAUCACAUCUGUGUGCCAGUUCUUCGUUUCUACAGUUUGUGGAUCCAGCUGCAGAGAAAGAAAGAAAGAGGACGUGAGAGAGAGAGAUGACAGCUGAGACCAAGCCAGAGCUCUCCCUGCUGCUCAGCCACAGCUCAGAAGUUGGCUAAAAGAUGCAGAAACCGAGGCUCACAAACCGUCAGCAACUUGCUCAACUUCCUGAACUGGAGUUGACCGCAGGGGAUGUAGCCCGUGUGCCUGGAGGCGGUGAACGGGAGGCGGUGCCACAUAGAGCCAGUAAAGAACCUGCCUUGCUGGACUGUCGUGAAGACUCCGUAAGAUAACGGGUAAAUGGUUGGUCUCCCAGAAAGCAAACACUCUGUAGAGGAGGCCCCCAAACUGGGCAGGAGCCCCAGGGAGGUGGAGAUGGCAGGGGAAGCACAGAGACAUCCCUCACAGGUGACCAAACGGGACGCCGUUUCUCUGGCUCAGUGGCCUUCAAACUGUUUUUCCUUGUGCAUCCAUAAAGUAAUUUGGAAAAACAAUGCACACCCUGGCACAUUUUUAAGUCAACAUCUGAAUAUUUCCAGAGCAAGUUUAAAUAGCUGCAAAGAAUAUAAU